rnacentral:rRNA from 1 species
CGACGUGCCUAAGAAAUGCAAGUCGAGCGAGGCCAUGGAACUUGCUCCGGAAGCCUAGCGGCGAACGGUCGCGUAACACGUAAGCAACCUGCCCCAAAGUUUGGGAUAGGCGCUCCGAAAGGGGGAUUAAUACCGGAUGUGGAUGUCGAUAUGCAUGUAUUGACAUCUAAAGCAUUUAUGCGCUUUGGGAUGGGCUUGCGGCCUAUCAGCUAGUUGGUGAGGUAACGGCUCACCAAGGCGACGACGGGUAGCUGGUCUGAGAGGAUGGUCAGCCGGACUGGGACUGAGACACGGCCCAGACUCCUACGGGGGGCAGCAAUUAGGAAUCUUGCGCAAUGGGCGAAAGCCUGACGCAGCGACGUCGCGUGAAUGAUGAAGUCUUUCGGGAUGUAAAGUUCUUUUCUGAGGGAAGAAGGAUGUGACGGUACCUCAGGAAUGAGCCCCGGCUAACUACGUGCCAGCAGCCGCGGUAAUACGUAGGGGGCGAGCGUUGUCCGAAUUUACUGGGCGUAAAGCGCGCGUAGGCGGACUCUUAAGUUGGUGGUGAAAUGCCGAGGCUCAACCUCGGAACUGCCUUCAAAACUGGGAGUCUAGAGGCUUGGAGAGGGAAGUGGAAUUCCUGGUGUAGCGGUGAAAUGCGUAGAUAUCAGGAGGAACACCGAUGGCGAAGGCAGCUUCCUGGCCAUGUCCUGACGCUGAGGUGCGAAAGCUAGGGUAGCGAACGGGAUUAGAUACCCCGGUAGUCCUAGCCGUAAACGAUGGAUACUAGGUGUUAGAGGUAUCGACCCCUCUAGUGCCGAAGCAAACGCAUUAAGUAUCCCGCCUGGGGAGUACGGCCGCAAGGUUGAAACUCAAAGGAAUUGACGGGGGCCCGCACAAGCGGUGGAGCAUGUGGUUUAAUACGUCACUAACCGUAGAACCUCACCCAG